AAGGAUAUCUGAUUGCCCGGAAACGUGGGGAUAUAUAGAAUUCACCUCAGGCCGUGCUUUGAAAGAACCACGUGAAAAGAAUUACAAAAGACUAUUCUCCCCCACCCGGCGUUGCUAUUCGUCCAGGAAAACCCGGUGGAAACUAGGCCUCCCAGUUAUCCUACCGUUAAAUUUGUUUUGAUAUCAGCACAACAGCCAUGCCUACCCAUACAACUAAUGCGACUGCGACUAGAAGUCCCAGUGCCGCCAAACCACUGGUUCUGGGAAGCAACAAUCCCGACAUCGAGCAUCCCGCCUCCACCAACAGGCCGAUGUUCAGUGAAGACUGGGACAUAACAUCAAGCAGCGGGUAUCGCAUCUCCGACAACAUGAUCAACGAGCCGCCUCCAGGCAAGCAGCCAUUCCGGAUAAUCAUGAUCGGAGCCGGCGCGGCGGGCAUCGACUUCCUGCACCACGCCAUACGCGAGUUCCAACACGCCGACGACGUCGAGUUCGUCUGCUACGAGAAGAACCAUGACGUGGGAGGGACGUGGUUGGAGAAUCGAUAUCCCGGGUGUGCGUGCGAUGUGCCGAGUGCCAGUUACCAGUUUGGUUGGCGGCCGAACCCGAACUGGACGCACUAUUAUAGCCCCGCGCGGGAAAUCUGGAAAUAUUUGCGGGAUAUUGUGGACGAGGAGGAUAUGAUGAAGUAUAUCCGUUUGCGGGCCCGGGUUACUCGAGCG
rnacentral:sRNA from 2 species